rnacentral:rRNA from 1 species
GAUGAACGCUAGCGGCAGGCCUAACACAUGCAAGUCGAGGGGCAGCACGUCUUCGGAUGGUGGCGACCGGCGCACGGGUGCGUAACGCGUAUGCAACCUACCUCUUACAGUGGGAUAGCCCAGAGAAAUUUGGAUUAAUACCGCAUAGUAUACAGAUUCAGCAUUGGGACUGUAUUAAACAUUUAUGGGUAAGAGAUGGGCAUGCGUUCUAUUAGUUAGUUGGAGUGGUAACGGCACCCCAAGACAGCGAUAGAUAGGGCCCGUCGAGAGGGGAGUCCCCACCACUGGUACUGAGACACGGACCGAGACUCCUACGGGAGGCAGCAGUGAGGAAUAUUGGACAAUGGGCGAGAGCCUGAUCCAGCACUGCCGCGUGCAGGAAG